CAGAGAUCAUGCAACUGCACUCCGGCUUGGGCGACAGAGCGGGACCCUGUCUCAAAAAGAAAGAGAGAAAACCACAGUCCAGAGGUGGAGAACGAAGGUUCUCCCCACUGCUCAAGUAGCCACUCCUUAGCCGGAAGAAAGCUAGUCGUCCCAGUUUGGCACGCCGCUCUAGCCCAGACUCACAUCUCGACUGCUUCUCCGCCAGCCAACGCCUCCUCUGAUUGGCUCAGACGUGCGUUGUGCGUGAUAAGGUCACGAGGCGCCGCCGUUACUAUAAGAGCGCAGCUGUGUCGCGUGCGCGUCUCUUUCCCAGUGACCGGGUCCUGUAGUUAGGUGAGGUGUCGUGAUGUGCUUUCUGGCUAGGGUUUGGGUUGGAUGUUCGCGCGGGCCUUCCGAGCUUCCAUGAGCAAGCUAAAGACAUUAGGGAUCAGAGCAGUGUGGCUGAAUGGGAAAGCGGCACGGUUGUUGGGGCGGAUACUGAUUAUGAAAGCUUUUGAGGUGCUUCUCGCGAGAUCCAAUCUGGGCGCCGAGAGGUUUUGGCACAGUCGUGAAACUGCGCUGGCGCCACCUAGAGCCUUCAUUUUCCAACUUUCUUUCCGCGCAGGCGCAGACGGGUAAGCGGAGCCAGCAUGCCAGUGGCCCGGAGCUGGGUUUGUCGCAAGACUUAUGUGACUCCGCGGAGACCCUUCGAGAAAUCUCGUCUGGACCAAGAGCUGAAGCUGAUCGGCGAGUAUGGGCUCCGGAACAAACGUGAGGUCUGGAGGGUCAAAUUUACCCUGGCCAAGAUCCGCAAGGCCGCCCGAGAGCUGCUGACACUUGACGAGAAGGAUCCACGGCGUCUUUUCGAAGGCAAUGCUCUGCUGCGGCGGCUGGUCCGUAUUGGGGUGCUGGAUGAGGGCAAGAUGAAGCUGGAUUACAUCCUGGGCCUGAAGAUUGAGGAUUUCUUAGAGAGACGCCUGCAGACCCAGGUCUUCAAGCUGGGCUUGGCCAAGUCCAUCCACCACGCUCGCGUGCUGAUCCGCCAGCGCCAUAUCAGGUACCACCUCUUGUGGGCGUCGGGAUCUUCCUCCAUGCUGCCCUCUGAUGGUUGCCCUCACUAAGCCUGCUGUCCCUAUCUCCUGCAGCCCUCGGAGGUGAUGGGUGUGAGCUCACCCUGAGGGUUCAGAUUCACCCUUGCACACAGCACACAGCUCACGUCCCAAAAGCCCAGCGCAAGGGUCACUGCGGCUCUAGCCGUACACCUUGUGAAGGCCUCUGCCAGGCAUGUGGGCAGCUGGACAGGGUCCGAAAGCAGGUGGUGAACAUCCCGUCCUUCAUUGUCCGCCUGGAUUCCCAGAAGCACAUCGACUUCUCCCUCCGCUCUCCCUACGGGGGUGGCCGCCCGGGCCGCGUGAAGAGGAAGAAUGCCAAGAAGGGUCAGGGCGGUGCUGGAGCUGGGGAUGAUGAGGAGGAGGAUUAAGCCCACCUGUCCCCCUAUUGGGUUCGUGAAUUGCCGAGUUUUCCUGCUGAAUAAACAGGAUUAGCGCUUUAUA